GACGAGGAAGGCACUGCACACGGAGUAAUUAAGACCGUUCGUCUUAUUUGAAAAUUUUUUGAAAAAAAUUAAAAACAUAAGUCACGAGUAAAGUACUAUUCAUGUUUUAUCAUCUCAUAACAACAAAAAUGCUAAUUAUAAAAAAUUUUUAAAUAAGACGGACGAUUAAAGUUAGACACGAAAACUUAUAGCUGCACUUAUU
rfam:Oryza rufipogon genomic scaffold, chr10